GUCGUCCCUGUCCUCCUCAUCUCCUGGAUGGUGGUCUUGCACAUACUCCAUUCCCUCUCACAAUGUUUCCUCUGCAAAGUGCAAUACCAGGGCUCUUCCUUCCCUGUCGUUGACCUUGACCGGAUGAGGUCUUCCAUCCCUCCAUCAAUCAGUUUUUCUCUCCUUCCAGCCUUGGAGCAGUAAAUGUAAGAAAGGUCCUGAUGCUCCCCGUGCCAGUUGGAAGUGCCCCGGAAAAGAAACGAGUUAGGAUGCCAAUAUUUCAGUCUUACUGGAUCUCCUAUAUGUGCUAAGAAAUGACAACAAAUGCUGAAUUUCUCGAAGGAUAUUAUGUUUGAUGAACAUGUGCAUGCACAUAAGGUAACUUCUUUCUUUCAUUAUGCAUAUUUGCUUUUGAAGCCGGAUUGAAGAUGGAUACGAAACUAAAAUUAGUUUCUUUUAAAUAUCUAGAUGACUGUAGGUUUGUUAUUUUUACUUAAAGAAUUAUCCUUUUACUAGUUGAUUCUCAUAUUAUCAUAUUUUUGGAGGGGCUGAUGUUGCCUAUCAUUUGCAUAACAUCAAGUGGUUGUUUCCAAGCAUAUGCAAAAGAGCCAAGGUAAUGUGAACAAUUAUUGGUGACAAUUCUUGCUUAUUUAUUUAUUUAUUGCAAUGGUAAGCGAGUUCAUGACUA